rnacentral:tRNA from 2 species
ACUUUUAAAGGAUAAUAGCAAUCCCGUGGUCUUAGGAACCAUAAACCUUGGUGCAACUCCAAGUAAAAGCC